rnacentral:rRNA from 1 species
CGAGAGAGAGCUUGCUUUCUCGAGCGAGUGGCGAACGGGUGAGUAACGCGUGAGGAACCUGCCUCAAAGAGGGGGACAACAGUUGGAAACGACUGCUAAUACCGCAUAAGCCCACGGGUCGGCAUCGACCAGAGGGAAAAGGAGUAAUCCGCUUUGAGAUGGCCUCGCGUCCGAUUAGCUAGUUGGUGAGGUAACGGCCCACCAAGGCGACAAUCGGUAGCCGGACUGAGAGGUUGAACGGCCACAUUGGGACUGAGACACGGCCCAGACUCCUACGGGAGGCAGCAGUGGGGAAUAUUGCACAAUGGGGGAAACCCUGAUGCAGCGACGCCGCGUGGAGGAAGAAGGUCUUCGGAUUGUAAACUCCUGUUGUUGGGGAAGAUAAUGACGGUACCCAACAAGGAAGUGACGGCUAACUACGUGCCAGCAGCCGCGGUAAAACGUAGGUCACAAGCGUUGUCCGGAAUUACUGGGUGUAAAGGGAGCGCAGGCGGGAAGACAAGUUGGAAGUGAAAUCUAUGGGCUCAACCCAUAAACUGCUUUCAAAACUGUUUUUCUUGAGUAGUGCAGAGGUAGGCGGAAUUCCCGGUGUAGCGGUGGAAUGCGUAGAUAUCGGGAGGAACACCAGUGGCGAAGGCGGCCUACUGGGCACCAACUGACGCUGAGGCUCGAAAGUGUGGGUAGCAAACAGGAUUAGAUACCCUGGUAGUCCACACCGUAAACGAUGAUUACUAGGUGUUGGAGGAUUGACCCCUUCAGUGCCGCAGUUAACACAAUAAGUAAUCCACCUGGGGAGUACG